GAUUAAACUGAAGUUUACAUGUGAAACCCUGAAGAAGAAGGAAUCUGUGACAUAUAGAAACAGGCCAGCUCUAAAACUGAAUAGGAACUAAAAAACAAAAACAAAACCCUACUUGAAUAAAAGGAACCUCAGCCACCCUUGGAGUGUAAUGUUCUUGAGGAUCUGCAGCCCCAGGACAGCUCCCGAUCAGCAGCAUCCCCUCCAGGAGCUGAAUGCUUGUCUGCAAGUAUGGGUACUUAUCUUUUCCCCCCAAGGAUCUGAGCGGUUCUUAUGAAACUCACUAAGAAACUCGACUUGGUCCCAGCAUGGAGAAAGGAGAGCUUCUAGCCAACAGGGACAACUGUUUGGGAAGUUGUUGGGAAGUAGCAAGUUGGAUUCUUAAGGAUUCUGCUUGAAGAUUCCAGGAUGAACUCACUGACCCCAGGCCUCUCUCCUUCUAUAUGGAGAGAAAUCUCAGAGGAAACAUAAAUCGGGGCCACGGGAAGCCAGUCUCCUGGCAGGGAUGGAAGGGAGCUUCUGUGUCUGAGCUGAAGGAUUCCAGCUCCUAUGAUUGCAGAGCCAGAAGUACUGAAGGAGGCGGCCCCAGCAGCUCCUUUCCUGGACCAGCUCAGCCAGACACAAUAUUGAUUCCUGUGCUCUCCCACACCCCACUCCCCCCCUCCACCCCGGAAAACAGCUAAUGGCCUGGAAAAAUACUGGCCAGAUGUUCUCCAGCUGUGACAUAAUGAGCUCAGGGACAGAUCAAUGCCAGUUCCAGUAUCUAAUUAAGCUGGGGAGCUGGCUUGGCUGGUUCUCCAGCUCUCCGAGAUGCCCAGUGAGCAUUUCUGACGCUCUUCCUGGAGCCGGGACUGACCCAUGGAGGCUCAGGGGUUGGGAAAGGGCCCUUUUUUGUUGGGCUUGCUGUCCAGCUCUUUGUUGCCACAUCAUAACUUGGUGAUGCCCAUGGAGGCCACUGGAUCUGCUGAGCUCAGACCACCCGUAGUUCCUCACAGGCCAGUCAGCAGUGACUCUGUCAGUCCUAAGACUAAGAGCCCCUUUCUCCCAAGCAUCUGGGUGGAGGUGGCAGAGAGGCCCCUCUGCUCUAGCUGAUGACGCUUCUGCCAUGAGGGGCACUGGGUACCCAGAGAGCCUACAUCAGGGUGCGCUUUCUUUUCUGAAGAGGCAUCAUGACUUAAUCAGGAAGUUCUGGACCCAAUCCUACCUCAGACACUUAAAUUAGAUGAAUUUCAAUCUUAUCCAGCCUCAGUUUCCCCUUCUGUAAUGGCUACUUGACCUCGACAAGCCUGUUUCCCCUUCUAUAACAGACACGUGACCUUGCCAAGCCUCUGUUUCUGCUUCUGAAGUGGCUACUUUACCUCGCCAAGCCUUUGUUUCUGCUUCUGAAGUAGGUACUUUACCUCGCCAAGCCUCAGUUUCCCCUUCUGUGAUGGACACGUGACCUUGCCAA
rnacentral:lncRNA from 1 species